rnacentral:lncRNA from 1 species
GAUUGGUGGUAGACCCACUGUAGAAUCCCAUCUUGAACAGCAACCUGGAUGUUGCAGAAGAUAUGCGCUCUGCAGUGAUUCAUUCUUUAUGUCAGUAAACCUCAGUGUUUGAGGACAGAUGCUUAGCUGAGAGAAGAUACACACUGAGAAUUUUGGGAUGACUACAAGUCAUUUCCAGUGGUCUGUACAUAAUGCUAAUCCCUAGUUAAAUUAGGAUUUAUUAAUAUAUAUUUUUGUUACAAAAUAAUCAUCUUUGUUUUCUAUGGUAAAAAUUAUAUUAAAUGGAGAUGACUUAGACAAUAGGUAUCUUCAACUUUUUAGCUCCAACUCUCAGGCCACUUUGAACUUGUAUCCAAUGCUCCCCCCACAUAUAUCAUUUAAGAACUCCUACCUUAAUUAUCUACUUUUUGUCUUCAUUUUAUUCCUCACCACCAAAUAUGCUAGUUUUGAUGGAGACUUACUUUGUUAUCUGCUUUUUACUUCAUGAUUAUAGAACAGUUCGGAUAAAAUGUCAGUGCUAAGGAUUAAAUAAACAGAGGGAAUUUUUUUUUUAAAAAAAGGAAAUAACCAGUCUUCAUCUCAUUUGAGCAUGAAGAAUUACAUUAUUAAGUCCUAAUGUUUCCAAAGCAAAUAGUUAUGGUACUGACAGUAGUAUAUUUGGUGCAAAGAACGCUAGAAUUUUCUGCAUACCAUUUUUCUGACCCAAACUGCUGGUGUGUCUGUCAUGGCUAUUUGCUUGUAAUAUGUGCUACUCCGUCAAUGGUGUUUCCAUCUUAUCUUUUGUCUGUUACAAAAACUCAGUUCAGUAACUGAGGCAUGGCUUGGUUGCCAAGGUUAUUUCAAAGUCUCAAGCUUACCAGUCACAUGACCAUUUACCUGGAAAAUGACUUAAAAGCACAAUUAGACCACUAUAUAAGCUUUUAAGUAUGGGCUCAGUUAGCCAACAGAAAUUUUUUUAGUCACAGAUAUUUUGUUAGAUUAAUGAAAACCGGAGUAGGCUGAAAUGCAGAACUCCACAUUUGUUUUACUAUGUUGUUGUAGUUUAAUGUGGUUUUUGAAUAAAAUAAAGUUGUCCUAUUAUUUAAAUACUGAUAACAAGAUACAGUCAUACCUCGUGUUACAUCCACUUCAGAUUGCGUGUUCUUGUCUUGUGUCCCACGGCAACCUGGAUGUACCGGAAUAGGUUACUUCCAGGUUUCGCCGCAUGCACAGAAGCGCUAAAUCGUGCUUUGCUCAUGCGCAGAAGCACCAAAUAGCGCCGCAUGCCUGUGCAGAUGCGGCGCUUUGAGUUGCAGGCUUUUUAUGUUAUGGACGGGCCUCCGGAACGGAUCCCGUCCGUAACACAAGGUACCACUGUAUUUAUCUUUUCAUAAUUGAUCUCCAUUCCACACUACACCCACCCAGUUUCAGAUUUAUGCUAACCUGGGGGAAGAAAGUACCUUGGGGAAUCUCUUUUUCAUUCUGAUUGUGGUAAUAAGUGUACAGAAUCUCCACAGUAGAAUUUUUAUGAUAUACAGUACCAGGAAGGUUUUCUUUUUCUGUGUGAUGUCCAGUCAUUCUCUCAUUGGAAGUGUUUUUGUAGCAGACCAGUGUGGGGAUUUCCAAAACUUCCUUUCAAGCCCAUCUUCAGAUACUUCAACCAGUGUAACCAGCAUAAAUAAUUGCUGCUACAUCCUGAUGUUCACUUACUCCUUGCCCAUCCUGCAUUGCUAUAGACCAGAGAUGAGGAACCUGUGGCCCUCCAGAUGCUGUCUGGGUCUGACUGGAGUUGAAGUCCAGCGACCUCUGGACGACCACAUGUUCUCCACCACUGAUUUAGGCUCAAUUUCUCCCAAUUGUGACUGCUUCCUCUUUCUGCCCAGUCAGGCUUAUGGUGCUACAGAAAGACUAACCUGUCACCCGCUGUUCCCUCCCCUUCUUGCUUGUCCCCCAGCUUUCCCAUUGAAUACAUAGUCUGGUUGACUGUUUUUUGGUGUGUGCUACUGAUAUCUCCUAUACUAUCCAGGGCAGGACUUCAGGGAGUGAAUGUUUUGCUUUAUGAUUCUGCAAAGAACAUAAUUUUUCCAGUUGGAAAAAUACAUUUUGUUAGUAAUUGAUCUAGGAUAUUAAGCAGUAUCGGUCUAUAGCAAGAAAUCUGACUACUUCAGCCAAUCGUGAUUUCCUGCCUCCUCGCUGUGUCUUAUAUCUCAGUUCCAAGGCUGCCUGUCGUCAUUGAUCAUUUUCGUUUGGUGAUGACCUUAACUAUUCUGUAGAGAAAGGUUCUAAACUCCAGAAAUGAGCCUUGAUCAAGCUUUUCUGGGUGGAUUUAUGGGAGGUUUUCACCAUGACACAUGGAAAAUGACAUUAUGAGCCUGUAAUCAAAAUCUUUUCUAUGUAGGAAGGUCAAAUCAGUCACAAUGAAACAUAGUUUUCAGGGGGGGAAAUGCAGUUAUGAAAAGCAAGUUUAACUUGAGUAUGUUAUUGGGAUGAAUUAGUGUUGCCCCCUCCCCCAAGGGAUUUCAGUUCCCAACAUCAACAUUGGCAUCAUCUAUAUACGCAUCUCUUAAUUCAAGCCAUGCAUUACUAUGACUUUCCCACUUUGAAUUAUUUAGCUGAAAUUAAAUUUAAAUUCCUCAAACACAACUUGUAUUUUUUUCUUCAGCAGUCAAUUAAUAGUUUGAAUACAAAAUAGUACAUCUCCUAAAAACACGUCUAAUUGUUUUUAGAGACCAAGUAUAGGUCUCUAUAAUUACACGAGUAAUUAUACAAUAUGUCAACAAAUACUUUAAAAAAAGUUAUUUUAUAGAGUUUUGUACAAUCUAAAUGGCACAGUAAGGAGUAACAAUAACAACAAAACAAUUACAAGUCUAUUGUGAUUUGUUCCAUAAACUAAUACAUACAUAGAGAAGGCAAAAACAAAGAGUAUAAAUGAAGUUGGAAUCACAUUAGUUUAUCAAAUUUCUCCAGAAAUAUGUACCGUAUUUUUUGCACCAUAACACUCACUUUUUUCCUCCUAGAAAGUAAGGGGAAAUGUCUGUGCGUGUUAUGGAGGGAAUGCCUACGGGUGGCAUGCCUACGGAUUUUCCUCCUCUAAAAACUACGUGCGUGUUAUGGUCGGGUGAGAUCUGCAGAUGAAUUGAUAAAUUUGUAAAUGCAUCAAAUUGAGCCUGUGUCUUGGCUGAUGUGACAACUCCUAUUCUGAAUUACGUUAUGUUGUUGCUGUUGCUUUGUGGUAGCCUUCAGAAGAGCCUGCAGAAGUCUGGUGUAGCAGCAUGCAAACAAUUUUUCUCAGGAAGAGAGUCUGAGGAACUGAGGAAAAUAGUGGUCUCAAGAGAUGAAUUUCUAGGCCUUAUUGACAAAUUAAGAACAAACUAAUCAUUGGAUCCAGAUGGUAUUCAUCCGAGAGUUGCUAAAGAACUCAAAUGUGGAAUUGCUGAUUUUCUAAUAUAUAAAACUGGUCCUGCAGAUCAGCAGUCAUGUGUGUGCACACUUCCCUAUGCAGACACACAUAUGACUAACCAUUGGGAUGGGCAGAGAGCAGAUCGAAGAUAAAAAAUUCAGAAGUCUUUCUUCCCACCACAGUACUGCCACCGCCACCCUUCUGUCGCUCUGGCAGGGAAGUGGUGCAGAGAAGCAAGUGAAAAAGUUAAAAGGUUCUCCUCUCAGCCCAACACUGCCCCCUUGAGUCGCUGGCUUGGAGAAGAGCCAGUAAAUUGGCUCAGGGGGCUGGUGGGCCAUUGAAAGCAGUUUGAUGAGCCCAUUCUAGUUUGGGGGCCAUGGCCUUGCCACCCCUGGUUCAAAGCUUUUUCCUCUGCUUUCAGAACAGCUUACAAAAAUGUUGCCUGUAUCAUCCAUAGAUUUUCCUUCCCACUGAGCUAGGACCCGAAGACCUGCCAGUUAGUUCAGUGAUGCCUCCUCCCAGAUAUGUUUGCAUUGGAUCAAAUGAGAAAACUAUGAACCUCAAGCCAAGGUGAACCUCAGACAUUGCAUCACAUUACAGUGGCAGCACCCAAGCAGUACGAGUGUCAAAAUUUAGCAAGACUUAGUGAGAAUUCUGUGCUCACCGCUGAAUCUUUCCAUUAAUACCAAGGUUGAAAUCAAACAACACAGUUCAUCUAAAGUCCUGAAAGAACAACUGGGUUGUUUUUUAAAAAAUAAUAUUCAUUACUUUUCCAAAAAAUUUAAACACUAC